rnacentral:tRNA from 1 species
CCUCGAGCGCUCGGCCGCGGCGCGGGCGUCCGCCGCCGCCCGAGGGAUC